CCUACGGGAGGCAGCAGUGGGGAANUUUNGACAAUGGGGGAAACCCUGAUCCAGCCAUUCCGCGUGAGUGAAGAAGGCNUUCGGGUUGUAAAGCUCUUUCAGCUGGAACGAAACGGUACGCUCUAACAUAGCGUGCUAAUGACGGUACCAGCAGAAGAAGCACCGGCUAACUACGUGCCAGCAGCCGCGGUAAUACGUAGGGUGCGAGCGUUAAUCGGAAUUACUGGGCGUAAAGCGUGCGCAGGCGGAUUAUUAAGCAAGACGUGAAAGCCCCGGGCUUAACCUGGGAAUGGCGUUUUGAACUGGUGGUCUAGAGUGCGUCAGAGGGGGGUGGAAUUCCACGUGUAGCAGUGAAAUGCGUAGAGAUGUGGAGGAACACCAAUGGCGAAGGCAGCCCCCUGGGAUGACACUGACGCUCAUGUACGAAAGCGUGGGUAGCAAACAGGAUUAGAUACCCUGGUAGUCCACGCCCUAAACGAUGUCAACUGGUUGUUGGGGGAGUGAAAUCCCUUAGUAACGAAGCUAACGCGUGAAGUUGACCGCCUGGGGAGUACGGUCGCAAGAUUAAAACUCAAAUGAAUUGACGGG
rnacentral:rRNA from 1 species